CCCGGCCCUCCCGUCACAGGCAUGGUGACCCCGGUCCAGCUUUCCAACCCCAAUCUCAGCUACCACUCAGACGACACCCGCCGGCUGAGCGCAGACCUGCGCCUUAGGUCUCAAGACCGCUGAGAAAGAAACCACCUUCCCUUUUGCAGGUGAGAACACUGGGACCAGGAGAUCAAAUGACGAACGAAAGUCACACUGAAUGGGGUCAAAUACACCUGGGACGGACCAGGCUGGCCGCCUCCGAGGCCCGAAGCUGGGCGGUCUCACGAGGUCCCCGCAGCCCGCCUGUCCCCGAGGGCUCCGAGGGGGUCGCGCUGAGACGCCCUUGGGUGAGAGGUCCCAGGUUCCCCACCGCAGAGACCCAGAGACUCCGAGUCAAGACCCAACGUCAAGGCCGACCCAGAGCAGGCGGUGCAGGCGACAGAGAGUCGCUGGCUCAGUCACUGAGCGGUUUGGUCCCAGCUGCGGGUUGAUUGAUGGCACUGCAUCAGAGAGCACUCUUAGGGGAGCUGUUUACCCCCAUCUUCCAUCUGGAGCUGCUGGGAUAUACUUCACUGUGAUGAUGGCUACUGAAUGAGCUGCACUGGCAGCACCUCGGAAGGAUGGUGGCUGGGGAGCCGGCCCAGAAUCAAAGGAUGUCAGGGUAAUGAAUGGAGCUGAGCACAAAACGUCCAGCGCUUCUCAAACAUGACGGGGUGGCAAUUCGAAAAGAAGGAUGGCGCACAGCUUGUAAAACUACAAAGCAGGGAAACGUAACAUUCCUUUGUUCUUUCGUUUAGGGAUCUUACUUUCUAGAGAUUUAUAUCCAUUCAAGGAAAUAUGGUAGUUAUGACUGAAAUACAGUGACUUUGUUGACAACGACCUAUUGUUUAAAAUUCAUUUGACCAUAUUAGAUUAUAAACUUCUUUUAAGGAAGGUAUUCAGUAUUUUGGGGGGCACAUAGACAACCAGUAUGAGAGGUGCAUUCCUGAUCCACAGCUUCUUUAGGAAUCUGUAAUUACUAUGUAUUAUGGAAAUUAUAUGUAUUUCCAUUUAAUGGGAAACGGUACAGAAAGUCCAUAAAAACAAUACAGAAAUGAUAGUACAGAAAAGCAUUUCUAAGAGGUGGACACACGCAAGCACCUGCUCCACCAACCACAGGUGGAAUUGCGGUGAGUGCUAAGUGUUACAGAGAGGCUGUUGUACAGGUGAGGACAUGCCUGGGCAUGAAGCCAGCAGGCCAGGGUCUAGAAAAUCUCUGUGGAAGAGAGUUGUAAGGCAAGAUCACGAGGAAGGAGAGAUGUGAGUUUGAGGUUUUUGAGAGGCUAGUUUACCCUGUUGCUUAUAGCUAUAUAUUAUCACUCUGGCACUCUAGUUUUUCACAGUAUUAUUCAUAACUUUUCCUUUUAAUAAUAAAAUCUAUUUCCUAAACUGUGCUGUUACAGAGCAUGGCAUGUAAAACAUCCCAGAGAUGAAAAAUAUAAGACUUUUAAGAAGAGUGAAUACUUAGGCUAGAUCCUGAGUUGGGUUUGAACUGGGGAAGUUUGGUUGGAGGAAUAAAAUCUGUGAGCAUUACUUGCAACUUGAUAGAUAAUUGCAGUGAUGAGAUCAAAGUGGUAACUGAGGAAGGUGGACUUAGCUGUGUUGAGUUCCUUAGGAUUGUUUCUGGAAAGGAGGGAUGGAAGGAAAGAAGAUCCUUAGGGAGGGUGGUUUGAAGGAAGGACAGCUGAAGUAGUGAGAACACAGCUGAAGUAUCUACAUACCUUGGUUCUAAUGCAAGCAAGGAAGGACCAGCCCGAGAGAGUCAUGUUUGUCAGCAUGUUCUUUUAUGAAAGCUGUGUUCAUCUUGCUAUUGAGAGUUCAUGGAUUGACUCUGCUUCUUGUUAUCCUGACUAUACCAAAUAGAAUCACUUUGCUUCCCAUGUUUGCACAAAGUUGAUGUAGUACUUUCAAUUUUUUUUUUUGCAGUAAAAUCCAUUUCUUAAACUAUGCUGAUUAGGUAAAAGAAUGUGCUUUUUGGAAGUGAAAUUGCAUUGUGUAUUCUUUUGCUUGAUAGGCAAUAUUUUUUAAGGUCUGCAUUCAUAGACACUGAGAUUCUCAUUAACUGAGGCAAGUACAAACAGGCUCAGGAUCAUUAACACUUGAAAAUCAGUAAAAUUACGAACUAGGCACCUAAUUUUGGCCCACUGCUUUGUGUUUGCCUGCUUCUUAACCUCUCCACAACAAUACCAUGAUGUAGGGAUGUAGUUAGUGAAAGGACGAACAGAGAUGUCUGAGUGGAAGCCCACCUUUAUCCACUUACUCAAUUUUACUUGGAUUUUUCUAUGCUUGAUGGUAUAGAGGUUGAGUUUCUCAAUUUUUUUGACAUCCUACCAGCUUCUUGUUAGCUACCUGCCCCAGGGAAAAUCAAAGAAGGUAGGAUAUAAAAUUCAUCAUUCUUACUACUUAGUAUAGCUCUGAUAAAAAAGUUUUGCUAAAGAGGAAAUUAAAACAAAUGCCUUGCAAGAAUAUACAAUGGAUUAAAGACAAUCUUUUUAACAAGUGGUGCUGGGAAAACUGGUCAACCACUUGUAAAAGAAUGAAACUAGAGCACUUUCUAACAUGAUACACCAAAAUAAACUCAAAAUGGAUUAAAGAUCUAAAUGUAAGACCAGAAACUAUAAAACUCCUAGAGGAGAACAUAGGCAAAACACUCUCCGACAUACAUCACAGCAGGAUCCUCUAUGACCCACCUCCCAGAAUAUUGGAAAUAAAAGCAAAAAUAAACAAAUGGGACCUAAUUAAACUUAAAAGCUUCUGCACAACAAAGGAAACUAUAAGCAAGGUGAAAAGACAGCCUUCAGAAUGGGAGAAAAUAAUAGCAAAUGAAGCAACUGACGAACAACUAAUCUCAAAAAUAUACAAGCAACUCCUACAGCUCAAUUCCAGAAAAAUAAAAUGACCCAAUCAAAAAAUGGGCCAAAGAACUGAAUAGACAUUUCUCCAAAGAAGACAUACAGAUGGCUAACAAACACAUGAAAAGAUGCUCAACAUCACUCAUUAUCAGAGAAAUGCAAAUCAAAACCACUAUGAGGUACCAUUUCACGCCAGUCAGAAUGGCUGCGAUCCAAAAGUCUACAAGCAAUAAAUGCUGGAUAGGAUGUGGAGAAAAGGGAACCUUCUUACACUGUUGGUGGGAAUGCAAGCUAGUACAGCCACUA
rnacentral:lncRNA from 1 species